rnacentral:misc_RNA from 1 species
AACGCAUAUUGCGCCUGCGACUUCGGUCAAGGGCAUGCCUGCCUCAGCGUCGGUUUAUACCCUCGCCCCCUAUCCCAUUAGGGAGAUGUGUAGCACUGCUUCGCGCAGCUACCGGGGACGGAUCUGGCUCUCCCAAGGUGUGCGUGUCUUCAUGGCAUACGCAAGUGGGUUAGCUGAAGCACAGAGGCUAGAGCUCGGACCCGAUAUGGGCUUCAACUGGAUAGGUAGCGCUCGGUUCUUCCGAGUAAUACACAAAGUUGUCGCUUGUGGACCUUGCUGGCGGCCAAUUAAGGAUUCACUUCCUUACUCCUAAACUUUCGACCUGAGCUCAGACAAGACUACCUGCUGAACUUAA